CAAGCGGGGCCCCGCCCCCGGGCACCUAGGUUCUCCCCCUCCCAUCCGUGCCCUUGAUGGUCAGGUGUCCUGGCCCUUUCCCCUUCCUGUCUUCUGCGCCUGCCUUGUCAUCCCAGACCCUCUCCCGUCCUCUGCUGCCGGCCUGUGUCUGCUCCUCCGCUGCGUCGCCUGGCCUGUCCUAAUUUUCCAUCCCCAGGCCCCGGCCCGCCACCACUUUUCCUCACGCUUCUGUGCAGAGCCUGCUCUGCCUCCUCCCCUCCCCCCCCCCGUUCAUUUUCUGCUGAUGCCGCACCCUGGCCCGCUGCAGGGGCAAACUGGGCCCGUCCCCGCCCUGUUCCCAUGGCAGCGGACCUGGCCUGCGACUUCCAUCUCCCGAGCAAACGUAGGCUGUGCCCGUCUCCCCCCGCUGCUUGCCAUGCUCUGUGUUACUGCUGCUUCCCAUCACUGAACUGGGGCGCUAACAGGCUCUUGCCCCAGGAGGGCUGCAGCAAAAAGGCCACUUUACAGGGCCAUUUGCCGCAGCAGAGCUGACAGGCUUCCCACAGCCGUCACCCGCUGCUGGAAUGUGGGGAAUGCGGAUUUGCAGGGGCAAAGUCCUCAGAGCGUCCCCAUCCCCGCCUCCUCCUGCCCGACCCUGAAAGCGAGCUGCAGCGACAACUGCAGGAAGGAGCCGGAGGGCCCUCACUGCAGGUGUAACGCUUCUGAUCAGCGCUCUCCGGAGGUGCGGGAGUGCGGCGUGCAGCGGGAAGCCUGGAGGACAAAAGCAUCCUAAAGCAAGCCAUCUGACACAGAAAAUAAGUAGAAGAAAGUGGGCUGAAAAUCCUAGACUGAAGGUCAUGUGGUAACUUCAGCUGCUUAUUUAAUAUUCCAUAAAUUUAUUCUGACCUUUUAGCAGUGUGCAUAGCCUU